AUGAUAUAACCUCCCUGUACUC
rnacentral:miRNA from 1 species